AAGCAACACUCUGUGGCAGAUGAUCAGAACUGUCUGACACAGUUUGAGCUUGCUAUAGCAACAAAAUCUAAACUAUUGAGGUGGUUUCUCCUCUAUGAGACAAGAUGUUAUAUAGACUUCAUGUAA